AAGGGCACCACAAGAACGCGUGGAGCAUGUGGCUUAAUUUGACUCAACGCGGGAAAUCUUACCGGGUCCGGACACACUGAGGAUUGACAGGCAAUAUUAAUACGUGUUUUAACCUUCACGUAUUAUGUUAAAUAUGCUAGUCCUUUCAUGAUUAUGUGAUAGGUGGUGCAUGGCCGUUCUUAGUUCGUGGAGUGAUCUGUCUGCUUAAUUGCGUUUCACUAAGGGCCUAUAAUUUUACGUGUGUUGCGGCACUUUGACCCCUUUCUUUUAUUAGAGAGCGCGCGUCUUAGUUUGCUUUGCUCACACAAUUAGGUCCUGAAAGCAACGAACGUGACCGCAACCUCUUGUUGCCUUUAUACCAAACAUGUUUGUUAUUUUUAUAAUAUUCAUGAAAAAAGGCUUUUAAACUAGAGGGACCGCUGUUACUUUCUUAAACCAGAGGAAGGUUGCGGCAAUAACAGGUCUGUGAUGCCCUUAGAUGUUCCGGGCUGCACACGUGCUACAAUGAUUAUUGCAGUGAGCAUCUCAUUUUUACACACCGCAUGCGCGAGUCCAUUUAUUCACUUCGGUGCUUUAAAUGUGUAUCUCUGCGCGCGGUAAAGCCUGCUUCGAAAGUAAGUGGGUAAUCAAUUAGAAGUAAUGAUUUCCUUUUUAGCACACAUAUAUACGGCGUCUAUACCCGGGUUACCUUGUUGUAGCUUUUGUGCGUAUAGAUGUUUUUUCCGUAUGUGCGAUUGUCAAUUCAUGGUGGGGACAGACCAUUGUUAAUUGUUGGUCUCGGUCUUAACUAGGAAUGCCUUGUACGGGUCUUUGGUUCAACAAACCACCCGGAAUACGUCCCUGCCCUUUGUACACACCGCCCGUCGCUCUUACCGAUGGACUUCUCUGUGAGUUUGAGGGACUGGGAACGCAUAAAUUUAUUUUUAUGCACACCUAUGGAAACUUAAACGAACAGUGUGGUCUAAAGGAAAGAGAAGUCGUAACAAGGCAUCA
rnacentral:rRNA from 1 species